AGAUCCAGCUAUGCAAGCUCAAGUGCCCAACAAUAUAAAAAGAUAAUACACAAGGGAAUGUAAGGAGACAAAACAAUGGGCAACACAACAUCCCCAAAUAUCAUAGUACAGGUGCUUGACAUUUUCCACAUGUAGGCUCAUGGAGCGACACCCCAUAACAAAACUAAUUUUACCCCCGAGCUUGAUGACAUCAUUCGCCUAAGAUGUGGUAGUUGAAUGGUACUUGUAUCAGGCCAUCAGGAGUUUGAUAUUAUUGUGGUGUUUGUCUUAAUGCCCCUUAGGAAAGAUGAAGCACAUAUUAUGUUAUCUUCAAUCUAAGCUAUACAACUUGGCUACCAGCUCAAUACCCACCUAUACUUUUUUAGGAUGGAAAGCCCCACAUGAGAUGUGAAGCCCGUAUUAUGUCAUCUUCAAUCUAAGCUAUACAGUUUGGCUACUAGCUCAACACCCACCGAUGCCUCUUUGGGGAUGGAAAGCCCCGCAGUAGGGAUGGCGAUUGAAAGAUGAGGCAAGUGAUAGAACAAAGGAGGAAAGCUGAGAGAAGACAAAUUCAUUAGAUCUGGGGGAACAGAGACAUGGAAUGGGAGGAAGCGAGGACCAACAGCGAGUAUAAGAACCAAAGUUUACGGGCCAGGCCACCCAUGCAUUACAAACCUUGUGGUGAGUCCAACAUCCACUUAGUGUCUUCUAGGCUGGAUGCCUGGAUAUAUAGCUAGCCCUAGGACUCCAUCCAAAUAAUUGGAUAGAGAGAUGAACACACUAAUGUAGCAGUAGCUUGCACAUAUAUUAAGAACCUAGAGCCCGGAUAAGAUUUUUCUUAGAGAAGAUCACUAAAGUUUCUAUAAC
rnacentral:lncRNA from 1 species